GUGGGAUGGAGAGAAUAAUUUGACAUUAAACGACAGUUUUCUAGAUUCACCUGGGAAGGGUUGGAGGAAGUCAGGUGAAGAGAAAUUCAGGAUGCAUGAAGUGACUCUGACGCAGAGAGGAAAUGAUAUAACAGAAGUUAGGGGGCAGCUGCAUUAUGAUAAACAGAGCAGAUGUGGCCUGUCAGUGUAGUCUUUCUGUGAUCAGGACGAGGACUGUGGGGACCCAGCUAUCAGAUCGAAGACUGAUACACAGGAGAAAGAAGCCUUGGUGUCCAGACAAAGCUGCCCACAACAGGUGCUGCUGUUGGUACAUUAGAGACGAGACCAGCAGAACAAUCCAUCGAAGGGCUAAUUUCAACCUCUCAGGAACCUCCUCCAUCACCUCCGACUGAUUGGUCACAGCCUGAAAUUGAAGAUGAUGACCGAUGCGUGACUGUGGUAACUCAUCUUUUGUUACAAGACUCUCAUGAAGGAAUCAAGCAAAUGUUGUCAGCACAGUGCUGCAGGAAUGUUGAACAGAGAAUGUGUGCUGUAAGAGUAGACUAAGUGUCUGCAUACUAAUUACAAUUUAAUGUAUCUUGCUCAACAAGAGAAUGCUGCAAAAAAAAGACCUGAUCAGUUCAUUUAGUUUCUUUUUCUGCAGUAUUCCAGUGGCAGCACUGCCAAAGAGAAAACAUCUGUUGUUAUUGUGAAAACGGUAACAAGAUUAUUUUCUCAUUAUAACUGGAUGCUUUGUCGUGAUAACAGGAUACAUUUCUUGUUGUAGAAAUAAAAAGAAAAAUAGACUUCUUUUUUCUUUUCAGUGAAAU